rnacentral:rRNA from 1 species
UACAGAGGGUGCAAGCGUUGCUCGGAAUUACUGGGCGUAAAGCGUGUGUAGGCGGUCCUGCAAGUGGGGUGUGGAAAUCCCUAGCUCAACCUAGGAACUGCGCCCCAAACUGCAGGACUUAAGUGUCGGAGAGGAGUAGUCGGAAUUCCCAGUGUAGAGGUGAAAUUCGUAGAUAUUGGGAGGAACACCAGUGGCGAAGGGCGGACUAUCUGGACGAACACGUGACGCUGAGACACGGAAAGCGUGGGGAGCAAC